GCCUGGCUGGCUUAGUCGGAAGAGCAUGUGACUCUUGAUCUCAGGGUCAUGAGUUCAACCCCUAUGUUGUGUG
rnacentral:tRNA from 1 species